rnacentral:lncRNA from 1 species
CUCUUCGUUGCAAUGCUCUAGAAGCCAACCCGGAGACGAGAAAAGGAAAAUGAAAAAAAUGGGGCUGCGUCAAUUCCGUCUUAAAAUGAAUCUGAACCUAUUACAGACAGAGCGUCGUGUCGCUUAAUCUCCAUUUGACAAUGGCAGCCAAAUUCUUGCUCUACGACAGAAAGUAAUUAACGCUUGGAGUAUUGAGGCGCCUUGCGGGCCUUCCUGAGCCCAUAUUUCUUCCGCUCCACAACUCGUGAAUCCCGAGUCAACAAGCCCUGUUUCUUCAACGGGUCUCGGUUCGCUGCAUUGGCCACAAUCAAUGCCCUCGCCACGCCCAACAAGAUUGCCUGCGCUUGAGCUGAUAAGCCCCCGCCCUCGACUCUCACGAUGAUGUCGUACUUAGUCUCGUAGCCUAAGCUUGCGAGUGGGUACUUCACAGAUUGCAGCCACAGCGGGUUCCCCUGAAGAUAAUCCUGCACAAUGCGAGAUGGAAGCACAGCCAAUGCUUCAAGUUCUGUAACCUAAAUGUAAUUCGAUGAGUUGAAGCUGCUCUUCGAAGGGCAUCCUUACAGAUGCUAUGCUUCGUGUUUUCGCUAUAUCAUAAAAAAAUACCCCAGAAUUCACGAUGAUAGCAAGGCUUAAGAUGCUGAAAACAGAGGAUAAGAGUCUGAAGAUGAAAGUCUGCGACAUUGACCUGUACACUAAAACAUUGCCUCAAAACACCCACACGGAGGAUUUGAGGAAUUUUGACAAUUCAAGGAUGUGGGUAGUGUGGCCAACACGAUUUUGAGCUACAAACCUGAGCAGUGCGGUUGUUGAUAACAAUCUUUCCAGUACCCUCGACAAGGACAACUCGAGCCACGGCGGUCUUGCGCCUGCCUGUACCAUUCAAGCGCGCAGCGGCGAAACCCCCCGGCAGCUGCUGCUUCACCCACGCCUCCAGGGUACGCCUCUCCUCCAUCUCGGGACUGAGAGCCUCGGCAGUCUCAGCCAUGACAGCGCGAACAACCGGCGAGGCCACGACGGUCCUCCUCCCCAUCGCCACGCACGACUUCAACGCAUUGCAUCGCAAGCCAAGACUGGCAGACGACGAGAGCGAGGCCAAUUUCUUGCUGGGCUCUUGCAAGGAGAGCGAGGCGAAGGAGGUCGACAACCCCAGCGCUUGAGUCGCUGCUGCCAUGGCCGCCAUACUAACCAAUUUCCGAUUCC